UGUUGCAAACUUUCUGCUGUCACCGAAAAAAAACAAUAUUGAAAAUGGAGGACAAUCAUAAAUUCUCCUAGCUUCCAAGAGAACAUGUGAAUAUUGUAGUGCUUUAGCAGAACAUUGUAUUACUUGUUUUGAUUUAGGUUUCACAUUCAAUUCUCAUUUGCAGGAAGUUAAUAAACAUUUGCAGGACUCUAGUAGUGUUGUUUUAGUGUAAACCUUUAUUUUCACUAGAAUUAUAAACCUAGAUUUUCAUUAUCAGUUUUGAUGAAGCUAUAUUUAUCUAAUGAACUCAUAUUUUGCUCUGCUAGUCAUAGGUAUGGUGUUGCAUAUGCCUCAUGCGCAUACGAAGAUGGAAAUCUGCUUCGUUAACUCCAUUGCCUUCACCAUUCUCAUUCUACUUGCCUUCUUCAACAAAAUCAGGAUUCCCAGAAUGAGGAGAUUGAAGAGGCUCUCAUUGGAAAAAUGACAGAAUGCAACACUGAUACGCCUACUGAGCAUGUUCUUCCCCUCGAAGAUGCUCAACACUCCUUCGAUGCAAAUCAGUUUGCAAAACAUGGUUAGCAAUCAUAUCAGACCCUGAUUUUGUCAAAGCUCACUGCAUCGAAUCCCAGAAAAGACAACCUAGUAGCGUAAUGGAAGUUGCAAGAGAUAUAUCACCAAAUCAUGAUUGAUGAUCAUGAAGCAAAAACCCUCCUCCAAGUUGAUACUUGAAUUGCUAAGUGACAAUGACGGUUCUCCAAGUUGUCAGGGGAUUGAAAUCAUGUGUGGUGCUUGUAUUUUAGAGUGUGAGUGAGGGGGCGACUCCAAUCCUGUAAUACAUUCUUAUUUAGUGGUUUGUGAUUUUACCCUCCCUCGAGAGGUUUCCACGUUUA